rnacentral:rRNA from 1 species
UACGAAGGGAGCUAGCGUUGUUCGGAAUCACUGGGCGUAAAGCGCGCGUAGGCGGCUAUGCAAGUCAGGGGUGAAAUGCCAAGGCUUAACCUUGGAACUGCCUUUGAAACUGCAUAGCUUGAGUAUUGGAGGGGAUAGCGGAAUUCCGAAUGUAGAGGUGAAAUUCGUAGAUAUUCGGAGGAACACCGGUGGCGAAGGCGGCUAUCUGGACAAUUACUGACGCUGAGGCGCGAAAGCGUGGGGAUCAAACAGG